AUACGUAGGGUGCGAGCGUUGUCCGGAAUUACUGGGCGUAAAGAGCUCGUAGGUGGUUUGUCGCGUCGUCUGUGAAAUUCCGGGGCUUCACUCCGGGCGUGCAGGCGAUACGGGCAUAACUUGAGUACUGUAGGGGAGACUGGAAUUCCUGGUGUAGCGGUGAAAUGCGCAGAUAUCAGGAGGAACACCGGUGGCGAAGGCGGGUCUCUGGGCAGUAACUGACGCUGAGGAGCGAAAGCAUGGGUAGCGAACAGGAUUAGAUACCCUGGUAGUCCAUGCCGUAAACGGUGGGCGCUAGGUGUAGGGGUCUUCCACGACUUCUGUGCCGUAGCUAACGCAUUAAGCGCCCCGCCUGGGGAGUACGGCCGCAAGGCUAAAACUCAAAUGAAUUGACGGGG
rnacentral:rRNA from 1 species